UACGAAGGGGGCUAGCGUUGUUCGGAAUUACUGGGCGUAAAGCGCACGUAGGCGGAUACUUAAGUCAGGGGCGAAAUCCCGGGGCUCAACCCCGGAACUGCCUUUGAUACUGGGUAUCUCGAGUCCGGAAGAGGUGAGUGGAAUUCCGAGUGUAGAGGUGAAAUUCGUAGAUAUUCGGAGGAACACCAGUGGCGAAGGCGGCUCACUGGUCCGGUACUGACGCUGAGGUGCGAAAGCGUGGGGAGCAAACAGG
rnacentral:rRNA from 1 species